rnacentral:rRNA from 1 species
AUUGAACGCUGGCGGCAGGCCUAACACAUGCAAGUCGAGCGGAUGAGAAGAGCUUGCUCUUCGAUUCAGCGGCGGACGGGUGAGUAAUGCCUAGGAAUCUGCCUGGUAGUGGGGGACAGCGUUUCGAAAGGAACGCUAAUACCGCAUACGUCCUACGGGAGAAAGCAGGGGACCUUCGGGCCUUGCGCUAUCAGAUGAGCCUAGGUCGGAUUAGCUAGUUGGUGAGGUAAUGGCUCACCAAGGCGACGAUCCGUAACUGGUCUGAGAGGAUGAUCAGUCACACUGGAACUGAGACACGGUCCAGACACCUACGGGAGGCAGCAGUGGGGAGUAUUGGACAAUGGGCGAAAGCCUGAUCCAGCCAUGCCGCGUGUGUGAAGAAGGUCUUCGGAUUGUAAAGCACUUUAAGUUGGGAGGAAGGGCAGUAAGCGAAUACCUUGCUGUUUUGACGUUACCGACAGAAUAAGCACCGGCUAACUCUGUGCCAGCAGCCGCCGUAACAC